CUAUCAGGAAACAAACAUGACUACAAAACCCAAAGAAAUAGAAACACGUAACAGAAGAGUAAACAAACACAAAACAACAACAAAGUCCAAAAUGACAGAUCCUGACAAUUAUAUCACCGUUCAGUGUGGAUAUUUUUGUUAAAGAACCAAGAUUUGUUUCUUAGAAAUUUAGAGGUUGAAUUAGAUUUAAACUAAUUAAAAUAACAAUUGAUAUGUGUUCAAAGAACCUGUUCAUAAUCCAAAUAAGAAUGGUAAAUAAUUUUUUUUUAAAUAAAAUAAAAUGUUAAAGAUUGAUAUGCCAAGUUAGGAAUCAAUAAUCUUUUGAACAAUUGAUUCUUAUAGUUGUAAACUAGACAUCACAGUGGAUGAUUUUAAAAUGGAGUGAUGGACUGUUGACAUGGUGAUAAGGAAUGUUCAUUGCGAACGGCGAACGACGAGACAAACGUGAUGAUGUCACGGCUCAGUUAUUAUAGGAAAAAGCUUCUAAUUUAGCACUUUAUUUAAGUCAUACAUGUACAUUUAACUAUUAUUAAUAUAAAUAUUGGUUUGUGUCUCUGCUGGUAGUGCGUUACAGCCGAUCUGUGUUUAAGCACUCAUUAAAGUAAAGAUUACUUUAAUACACAACCCUAAACAAAUAAACUAGAAGAGGUCUGUUAGCACUCAUAUUCAAUGGCCUUUAGCAUUGGCUUAACAGGUAGCCUGCUAGUGUGGUAGAUUAAAACUUUGUUUUGUAGAUUGAAAGGGUUACUGUUGUUUUUACCAUAUGUGAAAGUGAAUUCUGUAUAAAUUGUUCUGGUCAUAAGGAAACAGUCAUUCCAAGCAGCCUGCAAAGCCUGUCCAGGAACAAGUUUAGAUAAGGAAAAGUUAUUGGUAUGAGCAAAGACUAAUGAACUUAUUAUUGUAGAAGCGAGCAUGUAGGCCGGAUAGAAACAGUCCAGCAGAAAAAAAUUAUUAUUAUAUCAGGUUGCAAUGACAUUAGAGUUCAGUGUGCCAGAAGAUGCGCGUAAGUGUAAAUGGUACAUAAGUUUGGUCAUGAGUUUCCCAUUCACAACAAUGAUAUGACUUUUGUAUAAAUUCCCUGUAAGAGCUGAAGGUUGGAAAUUUGUGGGAAUCUUGAUGAAGUUUUUUUGGUGCACUGCGAACAAAUAUGGUUCCCCCAUGGAGACUGGGAGGAGAAAGGAGAAAGUUUUGUGUUUAAUUGUAUUGUCACACUCUUUCACACUAGCACUCAAAUUGUGUAGCUUUUAGCAACACAAGCAAAGCAAAAUACAAUGAAAUAAACAAUAUUAAGAUUGUUUUCCCUUAAACCUAUUUUAUUUGCCCAGACACCACCUCUUAUGUAAGCGUUCUAAAGAAUAGGGGGACAGGAGGGGGCAAAGGGUUGUGUGGCGGGUGAUAAAUGAAGUAAACAGCUUGGGGUAACUUCGGCUCGCCGGAUCAGCAUGCAGGAAGGCGUGCGAUGCUCACAGUUCCUAUGCUAUCUUCUCUCAGGGCAGUAGAAGGUUGAGGCUGCUUCACUCGACAUAAUUAGAGACACCAGGCCCUCUGGAGGAAUUUCUAGCUCUGAUUUUUUUUAUUUUCCCUUCUGAUUUACAUUGUGAAAUAGUUUUAAAACUAAUUUGGUCUCACUUCAAAUUCCUCGAAACAAACCCUGGUUCUGAAAAUACCUAUUCACAUUAAACUAUGAUGUCACUACAUCAUUUUAUUGGUUAUUGGUUUCAGUUUUAUUCUUACGUUCCUUUUUUAAUUAGUGUUCCUUAUUUCAUUAGUUUACUUAAUUCAGUUGAAUGUUAUUAUAGUUAAAGAGUUUGUUGACAAAAGGACAACCCCAAUUUCCAAGUUGUGACAUUGUGUAAAAUGUAAAUAAAAACAGAAUACAAUGAUUUGACAAUCCUUUUUCAACUUAUAUGCAUUUGAAUACACUACAAAAACAAGAUAUUGAAUGUUCAUGUCAUGGUCUUGGGUGUGUUUGUGUGCUGUGCCUGCUUUUAACCGUGUUCCACCAGGUGCCGCCGGGGUUUUGAGUGAGGGCACAACAGGUGUGGCUCGUUUCUGUGAUCAGCUGGAGGGCUACAAGAGGAUUGCCAACACCUCUUUGGCUGAGUGUUUUGCCAACUGUGGUACAACAAUCUGGCCUGAUCCUUGCUCUAAUCAUUUUGAAUCUUGAAGUGUUGAGAAUCUUGACUUCCCUCUUUGUUUGAUCACCUAGGAACCAAGCCAAGCCAUGUUCCUUAAAGGAGAAGAGACCAUAGCUGAACCCGAACCUGAAGAAUCCCAGGAUCAUGUUACCAGCUUUAAGUCCUCCUCGAACCAAGCAUUCCAUGCGCGUCGAAGCAAACCCGGUCCACCCUCCAGCGGCCCACCACGUACUGUCCACAGAAGCUCCAGGCGGUUACCCUGCGCAGCCUCUCCACAAUCCUCAGACUCGACAGCCAUCUCCCUGGCAGGUCAAGCCGCUCCCGAACAUCCCCUGUUUCCUGUUGAUGGUCACACCUCGUCCAUUAUUCCAGUCUUUUAAGAAAAUAAACAACCUAAAUGGUC